GUAGGUGAACCUGCGGAAGGAUCAUUACCGAGAGACGGGGUCUAAUCGGCCCCAACUCUUCACCCGUGCCUACCUACCUAUGUUGCUUUGGCGGGCCUCUGGGCUCGUUCCGGUGGAGGCUUCUCGCUUUCUAGUGCCUGCCAAAAGCCCUUCUAAAUUCUGUUAUUGGUGUUGUCCGAGUUAUCCAUAUAAUAAUUAAAACUUUCAACAACGGAUCUCUUGGUUCUGGCAUCGAUGAAGAACGCAGCAU
rnacentral:misc_RNA from 1 species